rnacentral:rRNA from 1 species
CAGUAGCCGCGGGAAUACGGAGGGUGCAAGCGUUAAUCGGAAUUACUGGGCGUAAAGCGCACGCAGGCGGUUUGUUAAGUCGGAUGUGAAAUCCCCGAGCUUAACUUGGGAACUGCAUUUGAAACUGGCAAGCUAGAGUCUUGUAGAGGGGGGUAGAAUUCCAGGUGUAACGGUGAAAUGCGUAGAGAUCUGGAGGAAUACCGGUGGCGAAGGCGGCCCCCUGGACAAAGACUGACGCUCAGGUGCGAAAGCGUGGGGAGCAAACAGGAUUAGAGACCCCUGUAGUCCCUGUCUCUUAUAC